rnacentral:rRNA from 1 species
UACGUAGGGCGCAAGCGUUGUCCGGAAUUAUUGGGCGUAAAGAGCUCGUAGGCGACCUGUUGCGUCCGCUGUGAAAUCCCGGGGCUCAACCCCGGGCCUGCAGUGGAUACGGGCUGGCUAGAGGCAGGCAGGGGAGAACGGAAUUCCUGGUGUAGCGGUGAAAUGCGUAGAUAUCAGGAGGAAUACCUAUGGCGAAAGCAGGCUUCUGGGCUAUCACUGACGCUGAUCUGCGAAAGCUAGGGGAGCAAACAGG